GGCCAAUCGAGGUCUUCCGUUUAAACCGUGUAAGCUUGGGUGAGGAGGACGAAAAUUAUCUCCGCAUGGACAUCAGUGGUGUCACACCCAGUGGCCAUAGUGACCAUCCUGACAAGGAAAGCAGGCCCUUCCUGUUCAUCAUAACCUCCCGGCCAAAGCAAGCCCAGCCCGUGACCAGCUCCCAGCACCCCUGAGACCCAGGCCUGCAAAGCAGCAGAAGAUGGCCCCAGGGCUUGUGCCUGAGCACCCACGUGGGAGAGCAGCAUGAACUCCUGGC